rnacentral:rRNA from 1 species
GCGUAAAGCGUGCGCAGGCGGACAAGUAAGUAGGAAGUGAAAGGUUGGAGCUCAACUCCAACACUGCUCCCUAUACUGCUUGUCUUGAAUGUCGGAGAGGAAGAGGGAACGACACGUGUAGCGGUGAAAUGCGUUGAGAUGUGUCGGAACACCAAUGGCGAGAGCACUCUUCUGGACGAAUAUUGACGCUCAGGCACGAAAGCUAAGGUAGCAAACAGGAUUAGAUACCCUGGUAGUCUUAGCCAUAAACGAUGUUCACUAGGUGUUGGGGCGUAAGCCUCGGUGCCGCAGCUAACGCAUUAAGUGAACCGCCUGGGGACUACGGCCGCAAGGUUGAAACUCAAAGGAAUUGGCGGGGGCCCGCACAAGCGGUGGAGCAUGUGGCUUAAUUCGAUGCAACGCGAAGAACCUUACCAGGGCUUGACAUGGAACUGCAAGCCGGUGAAAGCCGGUCGCCUUCGAGGGUGUUCCACAGGUGGUGCAUGGCUGUCGUCAGCUCGUGUUGUGAAAUGUUGGGUUAAGUCCCGCAACGAGCGCAACCCUCAUGUCUUGUUACCAGCGAGUAAAGUCGGGAACUCGAGACAAACUGCCUCUGUAAAGAGGAGGAAGGUGGGGAUGACGUCAAGUCAUCAUGCCCCUUACGCCCUGGGCUGCACACAUGCUACAAUGGCCGGUACAAAGGGUCGCUAGCUCGCGAGAGUCUGCUAAUCCCAAAAAGCCGGUCUCAGUUCGGAUUGGAGUCUGCAACUCGACUCCAUGAAGUCGGAAUCGCUAGUAAA